rnacentral:rRNA from 1 species
GCGGCGCGCCUAACACAUGCAAGUCGAACGAUCGAGAGAGAGUUUGCUUUCUCGAGCGAGUGGCGAACGGGUGAGUAACGCGUGAGGAACCUGCCUCAAAGAGGGGGACAACAGUUGGAAACGACUGCUAAUACCGCAUAAGCCCACGGGUCGGCAUCGACCAGAGGGAAAAGGAGCGAUCCGCUUUGAGAUGGCCUCGCGUCCGAUUAGCUAGUUGGUGAGGUAACGGCCCACCAAGGCGACGAUCGGUAGCCGGACUGAGAGGUUGAACGGCCACAUUGGGACUGAGACACGGCCCAGACUCCUACGGGAGGCAGCAGUGGGGAAUAUUGCACAAUGGGGGAAACCCUGAUGCAGCGACGCCGCGUGGAGGAAGAAGGUCUUCGGAUUGUAAACUCCUGUUGUUGGGGAAGAUAAUGACGGUACCCAACAAGGAAGUGACGGCUAACUACGUGCCAGCAGCCGCGGUAAAACGUAGGUCACAAGCGUUGUCCGGAAUUACUGGGUGUAAAGGGAGCGCAGGCGGGAAGACAAGUUGGAAGUGAAAUCUAUGGGCUCAACCCAUAAACUGCUUUCAAAACUGUUUUUCUUGAGUAGUGCAGAGGUAGGCGGAAUUCCCGGUGUAGCGGUGGAAUGCGUAGAUAUCGGGAGGAACACCAGUGGCGAAGGCGGCCUACUGGGCACCAACUGACGCUGAGGCUCGAAAGUGUGGGUAGCAAACAGGAUUAGAUACCCUGGUAGUCCACACCGUAAACGAUGAUUACUAGGUGUUGGAGGAUUGACCCCUUCAGUGCCGCAGUUAACACAAUAAGUAAUCCACCUGGGGAGUACGACCGCAAGGUUGAAACUCAAAGGAAUUGACGGGGGCCCGCACAAGCAGUGGAGUAUGUGGUUUAAUUCGACGCAACGCGAAGAACCUUACCAAGUCUUGACAUCCCUUGACAGACAUAGAAAUAUGUAAUCUCUUCGGAGCAAGGAGACAGGUGGUGCAUGGUUGUCGUCAGCUCGUGUCGUGAGAUGUUGGGUUAAGUCCCGCAACGAGCGCAACCCUUAUGGUCAGUUACUACGCAAGAGGACUCUGGCCAGACUGCCGUUGACAAAACGGAGGAAGGUGGGGAUGACGUCAAAUCAUCAUGCCCUUUAUGACUUGGGCUACACACGUACUACAAUGGCGUUAAACAAAGAGAAGCAAGACCGCGAGGUGGAGCAAAACUCAGAAACAACGUCCCAGUUCGGACUGCAGGCUGCAACUCGCCUGCACGAAGUCGGAAUUGCUAGUAAUCGUGGAUCAGCAUGCCACGGUGAAUACGUUCCCGGGCCUUGUACACAGCGCCCG